GGAUUAGGCAUGCAAGUCGUACGCGAACGGGAUUUGAACAUUCCUUCGGGAAUGGGAUGAUCCCUAGUAGAGUGGCGAACGGGUGAGUAACGCGUGGGUAACCUGCCCUCGAGAUGGGGAUAACACUCCCAACGGGGUGCUAAUACCGAAUAAUAUCACCUUCUCAUACGCUUAGGUGAUCAAAGGUGGCCUCUACUUGUAAGCUAUCACUUGAGGAUGGGCCCGCGUCCCAUUAGCUUGUUGGUGAGGUAAAAGCUCACCAAGGCUCUGAUGGGUAGCUGGUCUGAGAGGAUGGUCAGCCACACUGGGAUUGAGAUACGGCCCAGACUCCUUCGGGAGGCAGCAGUCGAGAGGCUUUGGCAAUGGGGGAAACCCUGACCAAGCGACGCCGCGUGGGUGAUGAAGGUCUCCGGAUCGUAAAGCUCUGUCAUGGGAGAAGAAAAACUAUCGGGCCAAUACCUCGGUAGAUUGACGGUAUCCCAGGAGGAAGCUCCGGCAAACUCCGUGCCAGCAGCCGCGGUAAUACGGAGGGAGCUAGCGUUGUUCGGAUUUACUGGGCGUAAAGGGCGUGUAGGCGGCCUUGCAAGUCGGGCGUGAAAUUCUCUGGCUCAACCAGAGACGUGCACCCGAUACUGCUAGGCUUGAGUACAGGAGAGGAGAGCGGAAUUCCUGGUGUAGCGGUGAAAUGCGUAGAUAUCAGGAAGAACACCAGUGGCGAAGGCGGCUCUCUGGCCUGUUACUGACGCUGAGGCGCGAAAGCCGGGGGAGCGAACAGGAUUAGAUACCCGGGUAGUCCCGGCCGUAAACGUUGGGCACUA
rnacentral:rRNA from 1 species